rfam:Brugia pahangi genome assembly, scaffold: BPAG_scaffold0000138
CCAACGGCCCUCUUUAGGGCCACAAUUCGAUGAGUCAUGCUACCU